rnacentral:tRNA from 1 species
GGCGCCAUCGUCUAGUCUGGACUAGGACGUCGCCCUCUCAAGGCGAAGAUCACGGGUUCGAAUCCCGUUGGCGCUA